UCCCGUCUGCCCCCUCCUACGCUGUAAGUACUGCCAACCCCGUUGCCAUGGCACCGCAGCCGCCUCUCUUCCCUCCCACUGCCUUCGACCGCGGCGGCGGCGGCCUCCCUUCAUGGGACCCCAGCCGCAUCUCCAACCCUUCCUUCGACCAGGGCUUCCUCAAGGCGGCCUUCGACGGCGAGCUCCACCUCGUCAAGAAGGCGGCGAGGGUGGUGGGAAGGGGGGCGGAAGGCAGUCGCCUCGCUGAGAAGAUGGGCGCGGUCAGGGACGGCUACGGCAUGGGCUUGUUGCAGACCGCGGCCCUAGGCGGGAGCCUGCCCGUGUGCCGCUACGGCGCUACCUUGUCGAGGACAUCCGGCUGGAUGUCGAUGACGUAGGCCCGAUGGGCGAAACACCUUUGACUGUUGCGAUUGGCCGUCAGAAUGUGGAUUUGGUGCGUUACUUUCUUGAUCAAGGUGCUGCUACAAUGAAGCUCAACGACAGUGGGAGUACUCCUCUCCACCUUGCUGCUGCAGAAGGAAGCUGUGAAAUAGUUGAGCUCUUACUCUCCAGUGGAGCUUAUGUUGAUGCAAUACAUCUUGGUGGGACGGCACUGCAUUCUGCUGCACGUAAUGGGCGGGAUGAUAUUGUGAAAAUUUUGCUAGAACACCAUGCAGAUGAAUGGUCACAGACGUCCCAGAAGGAUCACGGAUGAUGAGGAUUCAUCAACUUUCAUAGAUAAUAUGAGAAGCUAAUUCAUUUACUUUUGCAAUGUUUGUGUAUGCUAAUUUUGUUAUUUCAUCUUUAGUUUUUACUCACAGUAACAUGGUCCUGACCCCUCCCCUCCUUUAAGUUGUAUGCUAGUUCUAGUUAUACGCGAUUUCUAAUUUCUUAAUCUCUCAACAGCAUAAGAUAGCUUUGGGUGGUACUGGUUAUACAGCUCUUGCAAUUGUGCUACUGUUGUGCACUCACUGAAAUGUGUGAAGCUCCUGCUUGAGGCUGGUGCUGAUGUGGAUGGUAAUUGUAAAGAGACACCAUUAAUCAUUGCUGCCAUUAGUGCCUCAACUGAAAUCCUGAAGUGCUUAGUUCUGGCUGGUGCGGAUGCUAAUGUUCCUGACAGUUUAGGACGAGCUCCUAUUGAAAUUGCUGCCCGCUCUGGUAGGCGUGAAGAUGUUGAGAUUCUAUUUCCAGUCACUUCUUGUAUUCCAAAUGUACGUGACUGGAGUGUAGAUGGGAUCAUUAGGCGUAAAAUCAGCGCGCCCAGCGAAGAAAGCCAUGCUUACUAGUGCAAAAUCUACAGCGCAUGAGGCAUUCAAGAACGGGAACUAUUAUCUUGCAGCAAGAAUUUACAAAGAGGCAAUGGCACUUGAUCCUGGUAAUGCAACCUUGCUUUCAAAUAGGAGCCUAUGCUGGCUUCGCCUCAGGUGAUGCAAAGAACGCCUUGAAUGAUGCUCAAGCUUGCAGUAUGAUGCGGCCUGGCUGGCCAAAGGCCUCAUAUCGUGAAGGAACUGCUCUAAUGUUACUGAAGGACUAUGAAAAGGCAUGUGGUGCAUUUCUUGACGGUCUUAAACUGGAGCCCAGGAACGUAGAGAUGGAAGAUGGAUUACGGCAGGCUUUGGAAUCCUUGAAGAUAUAUCGCAGUAGCCCUGGGCAAGACUAGCUGGAUGAGCAUCAAGUAGAUGCGAGAAACUUGUAGUUACCAGACUUACACUGCUCACUGGAGAGACGGAGGUGCCCUGUUUUUCUGUCUCAUAGGCCCAUAAACUUAGAGAUUGGGUAGUUUGGAUGGCCUUCCGCUGAUCAUCAUCAGAUACCUUCCUCACUGGAUGCUCGAGACCGUUCUGCUGAUUGCGAUUUCGGGAGCAAAUGCUGUUCAGUAUGCAGCAUUUUUUUUCUAUGGUUCCGUGGAUAGGGAAACAUUUCUACCAUGGACAUUCCUAGUAAUAGCCUCUUAACUGACAGUAUUACCAGAUUGACGUUGAAUGCCUGUGUCUUGCUUCAGAUCUCUUGUCAAGCUAAAGAUCAUUGCCCAUAGACUUUGAUCAAUGUAGGUGGGGCAUAGGGCAAGUAAAACCGAACCUUGGAGCUUGUAUGGUCAUGAUUGUUAGGAGACUUUGCUGGCGACGAACUGUUGAGCUUUACAUGAUUUGCGUCAAUGUAUAUUCUCUAGAAACUGGCAUGUGUAGUGUAACAGUAUAGUAAAGAUGUUCCCUCGGAAAAAGAGAAAAACAGUGUUACUAGUCAA